CCUACGGGAGGCAGCAGUGGGGGAUAUUGCACAAUGGGGGAAACUCUGAUGCAGCGACGCCGCGUGGGCGAAGAAGUAUUUCGGAAUGUAAAGCUCUAUCAGCAGGGAAGAAGAAAUGACGGUACCUGAGUAAGAAGCACCGGCCAAAUACGUGCCAGCAGCCGCGGUAAUACGUAGGGGGCAAGCGUUAUCCGGAUUUACUGGGUGUAAAGGGAGCGCAGGCGGCACGGCAAGCCUGAUGUGAAAGCCCGCGGCCCAACCGCGGGACUGCAUUGGGAACUACCGGGCUGGAGUGCCGGAGAGGUAGUCGGAAUUCCUAGUGUAGCGGUGAAAUGCGUAGAUAUUAGGAGGAACACCAGUGGCGAAGGCGGCCUACUGGACUGUGACUGACGCUGAGGCUCGAAAGCGUGGGGAGCAAACAGGAUUAGAUACCCUAGUAGUC
rnacentral:rRNA from 1 species